CAGUCGAACGGGGCGGCGGGGAGGAAUCCCUUCGGGGAGGAGACCCCGCGGCCUAGUGGCGGACGGGUGAGUAACGCGUGGGCAACCUGCCCCAUACCGGGGGAUAACAGCCGGAAACGGCUGCUAACACCGCAUAAGCGCUGGGGGCCGCAUGGCUCCCAGCGGAAAACUCCGGUGGUAUGGGAUGGGCCCGCGUCUGAUUAGGCAGUUGGCGGGGCAGCGGCCCACCAAACCGACGAUCAGUAGCCGGCCUGAGAGGGCGGCCGGCCACAUUGGGACUGAGACACGGCCCAGACUCCUGCGGGAGGCAGCAGUGGGGAAUAUUGCACAAUGGGGGGAACCCUGAUGCAGCGACGCCGCGUGGGCGAGGAAGUAUUUCGGUAUGUAAAGCCCUAUCGGCAGGGAAGAAGAAAUGACGGUACCUGAAUAAGAAGCACCGGCUAAAUACGUGCCAGCAGCCGCGGUAAUACGUAUGGUGCAAGCGUUAUCCGGAUUUACUGGGCGUAAAGGGAGCGCAGGCGGCGCGCCAAGUCUGAUGUGAAACCCCGGGGCUCAACCCCGGGCAUGCAUUGGAAACUGGCGGGCUGGAGUGCCGGAGAGGUAAGCGGAAUUCCUAGUGUAGCGGUGAAAUGCGUAGAUAUUAGGAGGAACACCAGUGGCGAAGGCGGCUUACUGGACGGCAACUGACGCUGAGGCUCGAAAGCGUGGGGAGCAAACAGGAUUAGAUACCCUGGUAGUCCACGCCGUAAACGAUG
rnacentral:rRNA from 1 species